GCUCGGGAAGUGGUGAAAGACUGAGCGUGGACGGAAACCACACGUCGAGCAAAAGGGCAAAAGCUCGCUCAAUCUCGAUUUUCAGUACGAAUACGGACCGCGAAAGCGUGGUCCAUUGAUC